rnacentral:rRNA from 1 species
AGUCACCUACGGGACGCAGCAGUGGGGAAUAUUGCACAAUGGGGGAAACCCUGAUGCAGCGACGCCACGUGGGCGAGGAAGUACCUCGGUAUGUAAAGCCCUAUCAGCAGGGAAGAAACAGGACAGUACCUGACUAAGAAGCCCCGGCUAACUACGUGCCAGCAGCCGCGGUAAUACGUAGGGGGCAAGCGUUAUCCGGAUUCACUGGGCGUAAAGGGAGCGCAGGCGGCAUGGCAAGUCUGGAGUGAAAGCCCGGGGCCCAACCCCGGAACUGCUCUGGAAACUGUGCG